rnacentral:rRNA from 1 species
GGGCCCGCACAAGCGGUGGAGCAUGUGGUUUAAUUCGAAGCAACGCGAAGAACCUUACCAGGUCUUGACAUCCCUGGACAGCCAUGGAAACAUGGUGUUCCUUCGGGACCAGGAGACAGGUGGUGCAUGGUUGUCGUCAGCUCGUGUCGUGAGAUGUUGGGUUAAGUCCCGCAACGAGCGCAACCCUUGCCUUUAGUUGCCAGCAUUAAGUUGGGGACUCUAAAGGGACUGCCGGUGACAAAUCGGAGGAAGGUGGGGAUGACGUCAAAUCAUCAUGCCCCUUAUGAUCUGGGCUACACACGUGCUACAAUGGGUGGUACAGAGGGCAGCGAAGGGGCGACCCGGAGCGAAUCCCAGAAAGCCACUCUCAGUUCGGAUUGCAGGCUGCAACUCGCCUGCAUGAAGUCGGAAUCGCUAGUAAUCGCAGGUCAGCAUACUGCGGUGAAUACGUUCCCGGGCCUU